rnacentral:misc_RNA from 1 species
UCUCAAUGAACUUCUUCUCUGCCACCUCCUUAGCUCUGAAGGCAUCUUCUUUAUUGCACUCCAUUUUCACUGUCUCAUCAAUGGCUCUCCUUCUUUGUAUGUAUAAGCCAAGGCCAGCAACAAGAACUCAAUCAGCAAUAUCUAAAUUUUAAACCUAAAGCUUCAGCAUUCAUCUUCAUGAAUCUGCCUUUGAUCUUGCAAUCCCCAUUUGCAUAGAGUUUAUCCACAGGGACGCCAUUGACGAAUUAUCUUUUCAAUUUUGAUUUUGCCUAUUUUACAAGACAGAUCAAAAGGGGGAAUUUUUUUUAUUGGAACAGUAUUUUUUGUUUUUGAAUUUUUUUUUCUUUUUUUUUUAAUCCGUUUGUUGUAUAUAUUCUUGCAUAUGUACAUCUGAUAAACUCUUUAACUCUAUUUGUGCUGUCAUUCAGCACUGACUAACUCCUUAAUAAACACCCAAUGUUUCUUCCUGCAAAGACUACAAAAUUUUUUCAGAGAUUAUUUUUUCUUUGCAAUGUUGAACUAAG